CCGGACUGCGCAGCGCCUCUGGAGGGAGUCGCCUCAGUGCGGGAUGAGAAGUGAGUCAGAAGGCACGGACCUGUAGGGACAAAGUCGCCAGCGAUGACAGCCCAGGGGCUCACGCCUUCUCAGCUGCUCCUGCUGCUAGUGGUCGCGGGCGCUGCGGGCGCUGCGGGCGCCCGGUGGCGCGGGGAGGGCACCACACCGCACCUACAGAGCAUCAUCCUGGGCCGAUGCGCGGAGUACGUGGCCCUCCUGAAUCCGGACCAGCGGGACAAGAACUGCACAGCUAUCUGGGAAGCCUUUAAAGUGGUGCUGGACAAGGAUCCCUGUUCCGUAUUUCCCUCCGACUACGACCUUCUUAUUAACCUCUCCAGACAUUCCAUUCCCAGAGACAAGUCCCUGUUCUGGGAAGACAACCACCUCCUUGUCACUAGCUAUUCAGAGAAUGCCCGUCGCUUGGUACCUCUGUGCAAUGUUCUGUAUGGGACGAUUGGCGAUUUUCUGAGCUGGUGUCGACAGGAAAAUGCCUCCGGACUCGAUUACCAGUCCUGCCCUACAUCAGAAGAUUGUGAAAACAACCCCGUGGAUUCUUUCUGGAAAAGGGCGUCUAUGCAGUAUUCAAAGGACAGUUCUGGGGUGAUCUAUGUCAUGCUGAAUGGUUCAACGCCAUCAGGAGCCUAUCCUGUUAAAGGUUUUUUUGCAGAUUUUGAAAUUCCCUAUUUCCAGAAGGAUAAAAUCACACGAAUUGAGGUCUGGGUUAUGCAUGACAUCGGAAGACCGAAAGUGGAAUCCUGUGGAGAAGGCACUGUGAAAAUCCUGGAAGAGAGACUGAAGAAAAUGGGUUUUCAGUACAGCUGUAUUAACGAUCACCUACCAGUGAAGCUCUUAAAGUGCGUGGACCACAGCACCCAUCCUGACUGUGCUUUGAAUUCAGAGAGACACAGCGAGAGAGAGAACGAGAGAGAGAACACAAGCAGAGGGAGUGGGAGAGGGAGAAGCAGGCUUCCCACUGAGCAGGGAGCCCAACGCGGGGCUCCAUCACAGGACUCCGGGAUCAUGACCUGAGCCGAAGGCAGACGCUUAACGACUGAGCCACCCAGAUGCCCCAAGAAGAAAACCCUCUUUCACUCUUGGCAGGGCAGCAGCAUCUACUCAAAGGGAAGUCCCACCUCUCUGGGCAGAACCUGGUGCCAGCCAUAUCAUUCCUUUCUUAGUGGCUCUGGCUUCAGCUGUUCAAAUGUAACUGGAAACUCCGCUGUGCAGCCCUAACCGUCCACCAGCCCUGAAGCCUGCCCUUUGCACAUUCAUCCUUCUUGUUCUGUGCAUACCAGGUGAUUCCAUUGUCUAAUGAAGCUCCCUGCUGGGAAAACAAUGUCCCGAGAGGAGUUUUCAAUGAUACACAUGCUCCAGAUUUCAGAGACAAGAAAUUUAUCUAGUCCUAUUGAACAGGUUAAAAUUGCUGCAUUAGAAUUAAAGCGAGUUAUUAGCUUCUUAUUUCAUAAUGGUACAAAGCAUUGAGAUCCAAACUAUUGCUGUAUAAAAAAUAUUUUUAGGAAAUUCUAACAGAACUAAAUUCUGUAUUUUUUCUGUAUUUUCCCUUAUCCUCAGUGGGGCACACUGCUUGCUUAUUGAUAGCUUAAGAUAUAUAUACACUAUUGGCGCGAGCCAAGCUACUCAUGCUAUUUGACAAGGUCCAAGUAUGGGGGACGAUCCUGAAAACAGGAGACUCCACAGCUGGCUCCUGCUAUUCUCUUUCAUUUUGUUUAUGGCAAUCUUUAUAAUUGUGGGAAUAUUUCUGGGGUUGCAUGAUAAAGUGACUACUCAUCUUAGUUACGCCUAUCUAAGCAAUCAUAAUGAAACUAAUUCCAUGAAGAAUUGGUUUCCAUAGAACAAAAUAACAAGACGGUCACGCUCUGUCUAGCACCUUUCUCUUUGCGUACUGUUUUUUAGUUUUAGCGAAAGUCAAUAAGCGGAAAUCAAUAAAGAUCAUGUUAAUCAUUACAAAGGAAAAAUGAAAGAAGGCUAUGGCUGUAAUCCAGAAAAUGAUCUAAGAUUAUCUCGAUAAAUUGUAAAAAAAAAAACAAACAUAAUCACAUGUUACGAAAGUAUGGAAAAACAAAAAUAUCCUAACAUAUAGAUAAAGUUCCUCCGAGGCUGUCGGGAGGAGAUGCUUGCAACCUGA